CAUGGGCCAUCACCAGCUUCAUGUGAGUAUGCUUAACGAUUGGUAAUAAUUAUUUGCAAUUCUUCAUGAACCAACAAGUUAAUCCUAAAUUAGAGACAACGUGUUACUAUUCUUCAUAUAUCCUGAUAUUUAGUUUUGUUGAGUUUACUUGUAGUUUAUUAAGUAAUUAGACAUGGUUAACAUGAUGAGAUUCAUCUUUAAAGUAAAGUUGGAAAGGAGGAAACUUCACAUUUGUAUUGGUCCAAAUUCUUACCUUCUUCACAUGCGGCCAAAAAGGGAUUAUUUCAUGAGCACUCUGAUAGGAGCUGAUAUCUUAUUAGAAAUGAAAAGGAAAAAUACUCUUGGUUACAAUACUGGACCUCCCAAUACAGAAGGCUCCAAUUCUCACAAAAUGACCAGAUGAUCCUCUCUCUCAAUUCCCUUUUUUCUUUUGGGAAAUGCUAGCAAGUGCCCUGUUAAGAACUAAAAAUAGUAAUUUUAUAAUGAAAAUGUAUUGGAAAUUGUGUUUUCAAAUUUUUAAAAGCUAACUGUCUUUUUCAAUGCAAAAUUUCUAAAAUUGGUUUCUUUCUUAAUAAGUUCACUUGUUAGCACGACCCUUUUCUUUUUAGGCAACACACCUUAUUGCUUCUAAUUAUCUACCAUAUCAAACCACAAAUUAACUAAUUACUAUGGAUGGGUUAGUAACUGUUAUACACUCUGCUACUUCAUAUUUAUGUUUUUUUUCUCAUGAUUUUGCUUUCCUCCGGUCAACAUGUUAUUGGAAGCUGCCAAUACUUUAGUAUUAACUAAGUUUCCAUUCCAACUAUUAAGUUAUAAUCUUUCCGCUCAUAUGUUCUUCCCAUGUUUAGUUAUACCAUUCUUGAUUUCCAGAGCUUUUGGAAGUUUGAACUAGUGGAUAACAUUGUAUUUGAAUAUUAACUAACUAUACAUGCAACCCUGCUUAAUGAACAGAAUGAUUGUUUAAGUCUUGAGAGCAUCUGAUAACUCAUUGUAUGUAGAUAAUAUGACCAUGCAAUAUUGUUUUAUUUAGACUAAUAGUAUUAUCCUGUUUUUGCAGCUUCCGCAGGCUGUCUUGAGACUGAUAAACGGACAUCUUUACUGUUUGUAGCACUUGUAUUAUUAUUACUACAUGCAUAAACAAUUCCUGACCUGUAUCAUUCGACCAGAGACAGACUAGAGAGGGUACUAUAAAUGUGACCUACGCAAAGAAAGGGCUAGCUCACAUCUGAGUAGGUAUAAGCUGUCAUUACGUGUGUAAAUAGUUGAUUGAAAAUAUCCAGAUGGAAUGUACCCCCUAAAAAAGAAAGAAAAAGAAGUGCAUGUGUUUUCAGGUCAAAGUCUACAAGUGACAGGCCUUGAUUACAUGCAAUAGUGUUGUUUUGUGAAGACGUAGGAUCCAAAAGGAAAAUGAAAAGAGAAGAAUCAAUUUCCUUUUCAGUCCUCGCUUAAAUUCAUGUAUGCUUGACUAUGCCUGAUAAAGAAUUUGGCAAAGUUGGACCAGAAAUUUUCAUCCAAUGAUAACAAUGGAUCACAUUUAUGUUUUCAUGUAAAUGCAGCUAGCAUCCCCGGUGGUUUCAGAUGUAUUUUCCUCCCACAGCAGCAUACACUACGAAAUAUAGAAAAUGGCGCCUUCAUUUCCUUUUCUUUUUUAUUACUCUCUCUGGAUCUAAUAAUUAUAAAAGAAUAUUCGGAUAAUUUUUGUUCUAUACCCCUUAUCACUAUUAUAAUAAUAAAAAAAUUAUUUUUAUCCUUAUUAAAAAA
rnacentral:lncRNA from 1 species